rnacentral:rRNA from 1 species
UACGUAGGGUGCGAGCGUUGUCCGGAAUUAUUGGGCGUAAAGAGCUCGUAGGCGGUGUGUCGCGUCGGCCGUGAAAACCUGGGGCUCAACUCUGGGCGUGCGGUCGAUACGGGCAUCACUUGAGUUCGGCAGGGGAGACUGGAAUUCCUGGUGUAGCGGUGAAAUGCGCAGAUAUCAGGAGGAACACCGGUGGGCGAAGGCGGGUCUCUGGGCCGAUACUGACGC